GAUGAACGCUGGCGGCGUGCCUAAUACAUGCAAGUCGAGCGAACGGACGAGAAGCUUGCUUCUCUGAUGUUAGCGGCGGGCGGGUGAGUAACACGUGGAUAACCUACCUAUAAGACUGGGAUAACUUCGGGAAACCGGAGCUAAUACCGGAUAAUAUUUUGAACCGCAUGGUUCAAAAGUGAAAGACGGUCUUGCUGUCACUUAUAGAUGGAUCCGCGCUGCAUUAGCUAGUUGGUAAGGUAACGGCUUACCAAGGCAACGAUGCAUAGCCGACCUGAGAGGGUGAUCGGCCACACGGGAACUGAGACACGGUCCAGACUCCUACGGGAGGCAGCAGUAGGGAAUCUUCCGCAAUGGGCGAAAGCCUGACGGAGCAACGCCGCGUGAGUGAUGAAGGUCUUCGGAUCGUAAAACUCUGUUAUUAGGGAAGAACAUAUGUGUAAGUAACUGUGCACAUCUUGACGGUACCUAAUCAGAAAGCCACGGCUAACUACGUG
rnacentral:rRNA from 1 species